UCUAUAAGCUCUCAUUUUUACCUAGAAACUCUGCUAAAAUUUUUGUUCGAGUACUCCAUUCUUGUUGAGGCAGAGAACUGACUUGAACGUUGGAGGGUCUUGCUGGAGCAACCCCACCUCCGGUUUAGACUUCUUUUGAAGGUCCCAGCGGCGACCGUGACUCCAGCUUCUCCGGCGUAAGCAGAUUUUUGCACCAACAGGAUUGGCACU
rnacentral:lncRNA from 1 species